CAGAACGUGGCUAAGACAGAAAAGCACCUCCCCUACACCGAGGAAUCACCUGUGCAAGUCAGGUCGUCCUGA
rnacentral:tRNA from 1 species